rnacentral:tRNA from 1 species
GGAGAGGUAUCGAAGUGGUCAUAACGGGGCUGACUCGAAAUCAGUUUGGGAGCAAUCCUACGCGGGUUCGAAUCCCGCUCUCUCCGCCA